rnacentral:rRNA from 1 species
ACUAACAAGGMUUCCCCUAGUAACGGCGAGUGAAGCGGGAAGAGCUCAAGCUUAAAAUCUCUGUGCUAGUUUAGCAUGGCGAAUUGUAGUCUAUUGAGGCUGUUGUCAGCACAGCGACCUGGGACAAGUCUCUUGGAAGAGAGCAGCAUAGAGGGUGAUACUCCCGUCUCUGCUCAGGUCUGCUUGUGUGUACGAUACGCUUUCUUUGAGUCGAGUUGCUUGGGAAUGCAGCUCAAAGUAGGUGGUAAAUUCCAUCUAAAGCUAAAUAUAGGUGCGAGACCGAUAGCGAACAAGCACCGUGAGGGAAAGAUGAAAAGAACUUUGAAAAGAGAGUUAAAGAGUACCUGAAACUGUUGAAAGGGAAUCGUAUCGUUUCCAGUGUCUUAUCCUUUGCAUAUUUCAUUGGCGGAUGUGGGUGUGUAGUGUGCUUGUACUAGCAGUUCAUUCUGCAGUCUGCGUUCUACGCUGCUUAUAUUUGCUGGUGCCCUGUGCAUUGGUGUGACGUCAGAGUCAGUUUGUACGCUGCGGGAGAUGGUUGUCGAGGAGGUAUUUUGAACACAUUUGUGUUUGGAUGUUAUAUCUUGGCAUACUAGUAGUCGUGGCGGAGACUGAGGUGCCUACAACAUGCCUUGGGAGUCAUGUGGGGUCUCGUUUGAAUAAUUGUUUGGAUAGCUUGCUAUGCUUGUGAUUUAUUUGAGCGAUUGAUUCUGUGUGCAACUUCUUGCUGUUCGGGACUUUGGCGAAAUG